rnacentral:misc_RNA from 1 species
GGCAAAGAAUUGAGGUGUCUAUCAGCCUGCAAAAAACUUAAGGCAUUUAUUCGCCUGCAAAGAAAUCAAAGGCACACAUUUGCCUAAAAGGCGUUGACAAGCUGAUCAAGGGCACAUGCCCACCUAAAGGGUGUCAAUAAGCCAAUCAAGGGCACACGUCCAUCUAAAAGGCGUUGACAAGCCAAUCAAGAGUACCAGUCAUCCUAAAAGGUGUUGACAAGCCAACAAAAGGUAAGCCAACAAAAGGUACACGUUAGCCUAAAAGGCAUUACCAAGCCAACAACAAGCUUACGUUCUCCCAUAAGUUGUUGAUAAGCCAUCAAAGGCACACGUUUACCCAUGAGGCAU